rnacentral:misc_RNA from 1 species
GGAUUCUUCACCUCCUCAGCUGUACUAGCAACUGAAUCAAACCCAAUGUAGGCAAAGAAGACAGUUGAAGCUCCAGCAAGCAUUCCAUCGACUCCAUAAGGAAAAUACCCAACAGGAAGCUCAUAGCCUGGCCAUCCUGCUUUGUAGCCCAGAUAUCCACCAGCAAUAAUUACAAAGGCCAUGACACAUACAUUUACUGAAGUGACAAAUCCUUGUACCACGGUACUCUCCUUGAUCCCCACACACAGAAGUCCAGUGACUAGAAAAACCAAAAUUGCAGCACAUGGGUCCACUGUGAUAUUCAGUCCUGGGAUUGUGUGACGAGCUAAGAAAGAUGGCAGGCUGUCUGGACUUCCAAAAAGCAUAGCCAGAUUUGGGGAUAUGCCACGA